AUUGAACGCUGGCGGCAGGCCUAACACAUGCAAGUCGAACGGUAACAGGAAACAGCUUGCUGUUUCGCUGACGAGUGGCGGACGGGUGAGUAAUGUCUGGGAAACUGCCUGAUGGAGGGGGAUAACUACUGGAAACGGUAGCUAAUACCGCAUAACGUCGCAAGACCAAAGAGGGGGACCCUCGGGCCUCUUGCCAUCGGAUGUGCCCAGAUGGGAUUAGCUUGUUGGUGGGGUAACGGCUCACCAAGGCGACGAUCCCUAGCUGGUCUGAGAGGAUGACCAGCCACACUGGAACUGAGACACGGUCCAGACUCCUACGGGAGGCAGCAGUGUGGAAUAUUGCACAAUGGGCGCAAGCCUGAUGCAGCCAUGCCGCGUGUAUGAAGAAGGCCUUCGGGUUGUAAAGUACUUUCAGCGGGGAGGAAGGGAGUAAAGUUAAUACCUUUGCUCAUUGACGUUACCCGCAGAAGAAGCACCGGCUAACUCCGUG
rnacentral:rRNA from 1 species